rnacentral:piRNA from 1 species
UAGCAGGGAAAUUAUACCAAAUGUCUUUGACC